rnacentral:rRNA from 1 species
CUCGUAGGUGGUUUGUCGCGUUGUUCGUGAAAACUCACAGCUUAACUGUGGGCGUGCGGGCGAUACGGGCAGACUAGAGUACUGCAGGGGAGACUGGAAUUCCUGGUGUAGCGGUGGAAUGCGCAGAUAUCAGGGGGAACACCGGUGGCGAAGGCGGGUCUCUGGGCAGUAACUGACGCUGAGGAGCGAAAGCGUGGGGAGCGAACA